CCUCAUUAUAAGAGGCAUUGCAGGUGUGGCUACUGUGUCACAUGUGUGUUCCUAGAUGGCAGAGAGGAAAGAGGCUAUGACUACGCUCUGACCUGUGUUCUGACCUGUAAACAUCUGAAAAAGCCAACCUGUGAUG